GGCGGUGAUGGUGUAGGGGUUAAGCACGCGACCAUAUGCAGAGGCUACAGUCCUCGAAGUGGCCGUCCCGGGUUCGAGUCCCAGAUCUGGUGACAUUUGCCA